rnacentral:lncRNA from 1 species
AGAAAUGGACAUAACAGCCUAGAGGAAGACCUGGGAGAAGCCCUUGAAUAACCAUUGGUCCAUUGUGCAUCUAGGGUCCUUAACAAAAAGAUAAAAGACAAGUGUAUAAUACGUUGGAAAAAAAAUUUCCCAUUCCCACACAGGCAACUUUCAGUAAAUACUUUUGUAAUUGCCCAUGGGUUGUCAGGCACUCAUGAGAUGAAGUUCCACCUCUACAGAUGAAAGCCCUGUUUUUGAAUCAAGCACUUCAUGAGUAAGGAUUUCACAAAGCUGCAAAAUCUGCCCUUGAGAACCCCUGACAACUAAAUAUUCCAUGGCUUCCAGUGAUAAUCAUGCUGUCAGUUAAGUAUUUUGCUUUUUUUAAACAGCUGGGUAUAUUUUUUUCUCUAUGAAAUUCUGUGAAGAGAGUUUGAUGUAGCAAAUUUUUUUUUUAAAAAAGGCUUGUCAUAUACCAGGAGGUAUCAACAAUCACCAAGCUCUCGUGCAUUAACUACCUGUUUCACCUCCAUUGAGGGAUAUGUCUCAUGUCAAUAAUUGGAUCUAUGAAACCUGGCUGUGAUAAAUACCAAGGAAUUCUAUGCCAGUUCACAGCAGUAAGAGUGCAGAAGUGCCAGCAGAAGCUGAUGUGCCCAAGAACUGAGCCCAAGUCUUAGCACAGAUCUUCAUCCAUCAAA